CAGACCUGUAAACCUCGGAGGAGUCGUCGUCACCGUGCUGCGCCGAGAGUGUUUGUGACGGUGAAGGCCGGGGCCGGAGUGAGGGGCAGCUGCCAAUGCUGGAACCUGUGUGACAGUUGUAAAUGACUGGCCCGAUCGUCUCCUUGUAGUAAUUAUCUAAAUGGGCUCAUUCAAAACCUCUUCAUUGUGGAAUCAGUUAAUUAAUUAGCUGUUUCACUGACAGGAUAAUGCAUCUAUAACAGACACCCAUCUACUCACUGGAAAUCCCCCCACAAGAUACAAAGCUGCUGAUAAGGCAACGAAAUGUGGAUGUCGAGUCGAGAAGAAAGUGAUAUCUGGCAGAACAGGUGUUCAGAAGCUCCGGGUUGGCUGCCUCCAGUGGGACAGAGGUGUUGGUGGGCUGAGCAGAAGGAGACGGGAGCGGAGAAAGAUGGAGGGGAAAGAGAGAGUCCCUCAGGCGUGUCCGGGCUCUGAUGGCUCCCCUGACAACCUCCUCUGUAAUGGUCUCCCUCUCUCUCUCUGAGUGCUGUGAAAUUGCAGGCCGGCGCUCUACAGCUGAGGACUCCGAGGAGACAAACGGCCUUUUAAUUCAGAGCGCAGAGAGGUGACGGAGAGGGAGGCCCUAAGGGAGGGCUACCAGUCAGACAUCCAUCAUACUAACCUCUCCCUUGGGACUGGCCCUGCCAGAGAGGGGCCCUGGAGGUGGUCUUGAGCGUACAUGUGUGCGAGCGUGUAUGCGUGCGCACGCGUCUUUGGGGUUGGGGUGACACCGCAUGCAUGGAACGGCAGCUGCAGGGGAGGGAGGAGGAGAAGUCUGCUCAGGUGUCCAUGCUGUCAAGGUGCAGAGUGGAGAGGGGUGGAGCAGUGAAGGUGGGAGGUGUUUUUUUAAUUUUUUUAUUUUCUUAUUUUCUCUCCAUGUCUGACAUUUAUCUAUGCACCUGCUUUUUUAUUUAUUUAUAUUUCUAUCUUUUUCCCUUUUAUGGCUUCAUUUCAGCUCAAAAUGCACCGCAGCAACCAUGAAUAACAAGCAACUUCACCAGGAAGAAGGUUCUUUUUGCUUGUAUUUAAAAAAUACUUCCUGAAAUUCAAUUACUGCAAACACUAACCUUUGUUUCGGUCAUCCUUCGGGCGCAGAUUCUGCGGGAGCUCACACUGAAGGGACUCCAAGGGUACAGGGUUUGUGGACAUUGCUCGCAGUGUUUAAAUUUCUCCUUUUACAAACUAAAAAAGAUUGACAGAGACACGGAGGUGUGCAGCUGCAGAGGUAUUUCAUGAAGGCCUCUUAGCAAAGAAAGGGGACUGAUGUUCAGAUGUUGGUCCUUGAGAAAUACAGUAUGUGUUGUGAUGGCCUGUAUGCACGUAGUACAGGGUUAUACAACCAAAGCUUCUAUCCUCCAGA